rnacentral:rRNA from 1 species
GUCUACCAGGCAUUCGCUUCAUCGGGGAUAGGGUACCCUUAGGUGGGGAACAACAGUUGGAAACGACUGCUAAUACCGCAUAUGCUGAGGAGCAAAAAGAGGAAUCUGCCUAGGGAGGGGCUUGCGUCUGAUUAUGCUAGUUGGUGAGGUAAUGGCUUACCAAGGCUACGAUCAGUAGCUGGUCUGAGAGGAUGAUCAGCCACACUGGGACUGAGACACGGCCCAGACUCCUACGGGAGGCAGCAGUGGGGAAUUUUCCGCAAUGGGCGAAAGCCUGACGGAGCAAUGCCGCGUGGAGGAAGAAAGCUUACGGGUUGUAAACUCCUUUUCUCAGAGAAGAAAAAAUGACGGUAUCUGAGGAAUAAGCAUCAGCUAACUCUGUGCCAGCAGCCGCGGUAAUACAGAGGAUGCAAGCGUUAUCCGGAAUGAUUGGGCGUAAAGCGUCUGUAGGUUGUUUAUUAAGUCCGCUGUUAAAUCCCACGGCUUAACCAUGGACAGGCGGCGGAAACUAUUAAACUAGAGUACGGUAGGGGCAGAGGGAAUUUCCGGUGGAGCGGUGAAAUGCGUAGAUAUCGGAAAGAACACCCAAGGCGAAGGCACUUUGCUGGGCCGAAACUGACACUGAGAGACGAAAGCUAGGGGAGCAAAUGGGAUUAGAUACCCCAGUAGUUCCAGCCGUAAACGAUGGAUACUGAGCGCUGCGCGUAUCAACCCGUGCAGUGCUUUAGCUAACGCUUAAGUAUCCCGCCCUGGGGAGUACGCUCGAAAGAGUGAAACUCAAAGGAAUUGACGGGGGCCUGCACAAGCGGUGGAAGCAUGU